CAUCUUCCCUUUAGCAGAAUAAUGCUUUAGAUUUAGAAUCUAAAAUCACCCUA
rnacentral:tRNA from 1 species